rnacentral:rRNA from 1 species
GGACCCGCACAAGUAGUGGAGCAUGUGGUUUAAUUCGAAGAUACGCGCAGAACCUUACCAACACUUGACAUGUUCGUCGCGACUUUAAGAGAUUAAAGUUUUCGGUUCGGCCGGACGAAACACAGGUGCUGCAUGGCUGUCGUCAGCUCGUGUCGUGAGAUGUUGGUUAAGUCCCGCAACGAGCGCAACCCUCACUUUUUAGUUGCCAUCAUUAAGUUGGGCACUCUGAAAGAACUGCCAGUGAUAAGCUGGAGGAAGGUGGGGAUGACGUCAAGUCCUCAUGGCCCUUACGUGUUGGGCUACACACGUGCUACAAUGGUAUUUACAGAAAGCAGCCACUAUGCGAAUAGGAG